UUCCUCUUAAAACCUCAUUAGGGAAGAACAGCAAUCAAAUGAGGAAUGCAGGGUUGCCUCUCCUACUGUCAGGCUGUUGCCUGCACAGCUUCGCCUGGACACAGGGUCACUGCACAACAAUGCAAGGUGGCUACAGCUGAAAUAGCAGAAAUCCAGUACGAUUCUCCUUUUCCUCUGCAAUCAGUGUGCAGCUCAGGGGGCAGCAGUCUGUGCAUUCACACACUGGGCUGUGUUUUCCAGUUUGGUAACAGCCUGCAGCAUCUUUGAGCCCGCGUAUCUACUGGAAGGCCCAGGUAAUGUAAGGAGAGUUGCAUUUGUGUUGCCGCAUCCUCUGCUGAAUAGCAAUGCCUACGAGGCAAGAAACAUCUUACUCCCAUGCUUCAUGGGCUGCUGUUUGCUGCAAGGCACUUUCCUUGCAGAUUCAAGGCCUUCUAGGUGUCCAGAGGCCACCCCUUGCUCUACACACAAGUAAACGGGAUCCCCAAGAUCCACCUCUGCAAGAAGAGGAAAGCUCCACCUGCACAGCCCCUGCAGAGGACACCCCCAACAGCUGACAGUGGCCAGGGGAAGGUGCAAGCAAACAGCAGUGUGUAGGCUCAGGACUCGCCAUUAUUUCUAGUUACUGUUUUGUCCCGUCUGGAGGCAAUUCAGAGCAGUCGUUACAUUAAAGUCAGUCUUGGGACCACAGUGGUACAGGUGUAAGCCCUGAGCUAGCUUUGUGGUGAACGUACACAAAUACACAAGUGCGUGUAUUUGUGGUGUCCUUUGUGCUUCCUGACCAGCGCCACUCAUCUGGCUUGUACCUUACUCAUGCUUUUGUCUCACGGAGGUUCUUGUGGGGCUGGGCCAAGAGACUAACAUCAUCCAGGCCCCUCUGCAGGCAGUUCAGACCAAGUCUGUUCUCUUUCUUUCAGCAGGUGUUGCCCCUGCACAUGGGAAACCCCCUCACAGGAGAUGAUGAGCAGCCGGAGGUAGAAUAGAAGGAUGCUCGCACUAACCUCUGGGGGGUCGGCACAGCGGAGAGAAAGUCCUUGCAAUGAUCUGCCAGCAUUUUUCUUUCCCCACCGGGGAUCUCAGGGAAGAAGGCACGGGGUCAGCGCCUCGGCUCUGAGAGGCUCUCCUGCUGGCCCUCCGGAAGCACUUGAGGGCCAGGUCUCUCUUGCCAAGGAAGUGGGGGAGAGAAGUACAGCUCAGAGAGCUGUUUACUUUCCUGUUGAAUGAACAAUUUUGAAUGAGCAAGAUUAGUCUACAAGGAUGAAAAUGCAAUCCUGUCUCACUUAAACAAAAAAAAGAAAAAAAAAAAAAAGAAAAAAGGGGGGAAGGGGUAAGAAAUUAGGUUAGCUCUUCCAGAGACUUUCUACCUCCAGGAGAAGCAGCACAGCUUAAUCUCAGCUGGGCCUCCCUCCCUCUCAUGAGGGGCCUUCUGCCAGCCCCCAGCCAAGAGCCCCCAGGCCUGAGGAGCCCUUCAGGAGUGCCACGCAUGGACGUCUGCGGGGCUGCAGCAUCCACAGGCAACCCCCAGCCCCUGGGCGCUUUUCCUAUCAGUUGGAUGUCCGCCCU
rnacentral:lncRNA from 1 species